UAGUCUCGCACAGAUGCAUAUCAAUAAGCGGAGGAAAAGAAACUAACAAGGAUUCCCUUAGUAACGGCGAGUGAAGCGGGAAGAGCUCAAAUUUGAAAUCUUCAAGGUUUUACCUUGACGAAUUGUAGUUUAAAGAAGUGUUUUCUGCUGAAGUUUUGGUAAAAGUUCUUGGAAUAGGACAUCAUAGAGGGUGAGAAUCCCGUAUUUGACCAUUAUUUUCAGCUUUGUGAUACACUUUCAAAGAGUCGGAUUGUUUGGGAAUGCAGUCCAAAAUGGGUGGUAAAUUUCAUUCUAAGCUAAAUAUUGGCGAGAGACCGAUAGCGAACAAGUACCGUGAGGGAAAGAUGAAAAGAACUUUGAAAAGAGAGUUAAACAGUACGUGAAAUUGUCAAAAGGGAAGCGUUUGACACCAGUGUUGUUUUCUCGAAAAUCAAUUAAAAAUGGCUCGAUUUUGUAUUGCUUGAGACCUUAAAAGCUCACUGUACAUUUUUCGUGUCUUUUUUAAUGCACUUUUCGUUUAACAAGUCAACAUCAGUUUCUUUUGUUGUAAAAGGGUCAUUGGAAGGUGGCUUUCUUUUCGGAGAAAGUGUUUAUAGCCUUUGGCCUCUGCAAUCGGAGAGAUUGAGGUCUGCAGCGUAGAUCCUUCGGGGUUAGAUACACUUGUGCUAAGUUAUAGCUUUUCAUAGACAACUUGUUGACUAUAAUUUAGUCAUGUCGCUUACUCGCUUAUGCUAUUUUACCUACGCUUAGGAUGUUGAGUCGUAGAGCACGCAG
rnacentral:rRNA from 1 species